rnacentral:rRNA from 1 species
GACGAACGCUGGCGGCGUGCCUAAUACAUGCAAGUCGCGCGAAUCGGCGGAUGGGUGAGUAACGAGUGGGUCACCUGCCCUUCAAUCUGGGAUACCAUUGGGCAACAGCUGCUAAUACAGGAUAACAAAGGAUGGACCUGCGGUGCAUUAGGUAGUUGGUAAGGUAACGGCUUACCAAGGCGAGGAUGAAUAUCCUAGUUGAGCGACUGAUCGUCCAGAUGGGGACUGAGACACGGCGCAAACUCCUACGUGAGGCAGCAGUAGGGAAUCUUCCACAAUGGACGAAAGUCUGAUGGAGCAACGCCGCGUGAGUGAAGAGGGUUUUCGGAUCGUAAAGCUCGUUUGUUGGUGAAGCGGUAAUCAACCAGAAAGUCACGGCUAACUACGUGCCAGCCGCCGCGGUAAUAC